AGAGUUUGAUCAUGGCUCAGAGCGAACGCUGGCGGCAGGCCUAACACAUGCAAGUCGAGCGGCCGUAGCAAUACGGCAGCGGCAGACGGGAGAGUAACACGUGGGAACGUGCCCUUUGGUUCGGAACAGCACAGGGAAACUUGUGCUAAUACCGGAUAAGCCCUUACGGGGAAAGAUUUAUCGCCAAAGGAUCGGCCCGCGUCUGAUUAGCUAGUUGGUGGGGUAACGGCCCACCAAGGCGACGAUCAGUAGCUGGUCUGAGAGGAUGAUCAGCCUCACUGGGACUGAGACACGGCCCAGACUCCUACGGGAGGCAGCAGUGGGGAAUAUUGGACAAUGGGCGAAAGCCUGAUCCAGCCAUGCCGCGUGGAUGAUGAAGGCCCUAGGGUUGUAAAGUCCUUUCGGCGGGGAAGAUAAUGACGGUACCCGCAGAAGAAGCCCCGGCUAACUUCGUGCCAGCAGCCGCGGUAAUACGAAGGGGGCUAGCGUUGCUCGGAAUCACUGGGCGUAAAGCGCACGUAGGCGGCUUUCUAAGUCAGGGGUGAAAUCCUGGAGCUCAACUCCAGAACUGCCUUUGAUACUGGAGAGCUAGAGUCCGGAAGAGGUGAGUGGAACUGCGAGUGUAGAGGUGAAAUUCGUAGAUAUUCGCAAGAACACCAGUGGCGAAGGCGGCUCACUGGUCCGGUACUGACGCUGAGGUGCGAAAGCGUGGGGAGCAAACAGGAUUAGAUACCCUAGUAGUCC
rnacentral:rRNA from 1 species